CAGCCGCCACGGGAAUACGAAGGGUGCAAGCGUUACUCGGAAUUACUGGGCGUAAAGCGUGCGUAGGUGGUGGUUUAAGUCCGCUGUGAAAGCCCUGGGCUCAACCUGGGAAUUGCAGUGGAUACUGGGUCACUAGAGUGUGGUAGAGGAUAGUGGAAUUUCCGGUGUAGCAGUGAAAUGCGUAGAGAUCGGAAGGAACAUCUGUGGCGAAGGCGACUAUCUGGGCCAACACUGACACUGAGGCACGAAAGCGUGGGGAGCAAACAGGAUUAGAUACCCCCGUAGUCCCUGUCUCUUAUAC
rnacentral:rRNA from 1 species